rnacentral:piRNA from 2 species
UGGACCCGGACACGAUGCACGCGCGCC